GCAGAUCCAAGAUGGUGGUAGUUUACCGGGAGCUGAUUUCGGGACAAAACCCUGGGGCUACAAAUCAGGCAGUUGCAGGUUAUUAAUCGAGGUUUAAGGUUGCCUGCUUCACACCAAGUACAGUUUUAGCCUGCAUGGAUAGGCUGGACUGAAGGGUCUGUUUCCAAGCUGCGCAUCUCUAUGACUCUGUGCUGUUCUCAUUUAAAGGGACAGAGACAUUGAGUGAGAGAGACUGAAAUCAACCUGGAGAGAAAGGAAAUUCAAUCUUGAGCAACAAGUAACAAUGCAGGAAGUUAAGAAAUUAGUUUAAAAUUCCUCCUGCAAUUUUACUGCAGUAAUGAUGGAAAUAAACUUGUUUUAUAGGGAAAGGGUUCACAGAUGGGAAGCUCAGAUUUGACAUCAAAUCAAUUGAAGAGUCUCCCAAUUCAGCAGGUACUGAUCAUAAUCGGUAAUAUGGAAGGGGAAAGCAGCAUUCCCAGUCCAAAGAAACCAUUUCCGUGUGUGUGGUCAAGGAUUCAACCGGUCAUGUGAUCUGGGAAAAUACAGAUGUGACCAGUCAAGAGAAGGCCAUGUAAAUGUAAGGACUGUGGGAAGGAAUGUAGCUAUUCUUCCCAGCUGGAAUCUCACUGGCACAGUCACCUUGGGAGAAGCCAUUCACCUGCCCCGCGUAUGAGAUGGGAUUUACUCAAUCUUGCAACCUGCUGAGGCACCAAAGAGUUCACAGUGGAUUUAGACCCUUCACCUGCUCUGUGUGUGAGAAAGGAUUCAUUCAAAUCUCCCACCUGCAGAGACAUCAGUGCAUUCACACUGGGGAGAGGCCAUUCACCUGCUCUGAAUGUGGGAAAGGAUGCACUCGGUCCUCUGACCUGCUGAAACACCAGGAAGCUCGUUCCGGGAAAAGGCCAUUUACUUGCUCCGAGCAUGGGGAGGGAUUCACUCAAAUCCAGUAGCUGCUGAAAACCAGCAAACCCACACAGGGGAGAGGCUACUCAAAUGCUCCAUGUGUGAAGAGUGAUUCAGUGAUUAAUUUCACCUGCUGAGACACCAGCAGAUUCACACCGGGUAGAAGCUGUUUACCUUGCUUUGUGAAAAGGGAUUUGCUGAGUCUUCAACAUGACUGACAGACCAGCAAGUGCACACAGUGGUCAUCCACCUGCUCCAUUUGGGGAAGAGUUCAUACAUCACUGCAGGACUCUGAUUCAGCAGUUAUGUUCAUCAGAUUCAGGACUGGAUUUUACUCAUGAUGACAUUGUUGGAGCCUUGAUGAUGUUAACCUCAGUUAUUGGGUUGGAUUGACUGAAUUUAUAUCACAAUUUUCUGGACCACAGGAUAUCUCUUUGGGCAAUAUGUCACACUGCUGUUUUAGAGACUAUGAGCAGGGAUCAUCUGUUUUUGAGUGAAAUUGUUGAGGGGAAAGACUUCACACCUGGGUCCUUGGAGAAGUACAUGAAGUGUCUAACUAUGCUUUAACUGCCUUCAGGGAGUUCUGAGCACAGUGGGGUAUACAGUGCUUUAUUUCAGCCUCCAACUCUCUUUUGAUUUAGCCCAUUCCUACUCUCCCUACCACCACCCUUGCAUUUGAUAGUUUGCAUUUCCCACCAUGGGCUUUGCUUGUAAAUAUUUAAUUAGUGACACAGGUGUUUUGCGAGUGAUGGUUUUUAGUGAACAAAAUGCAAAAAAAAGUAGUGAUUCUGGUUUGGGAAGGUUGCUUAGCUGUGUGUGAUAACACUUCUGGGCAGAAGAAAAGGUUUCAUAGCUCAUAUAACCAGAACUGAAAGGGAGUUAAAUCAAACCAACAUGUUGAACAGGCUUGGUUUUUAGUAACUGUAAGGUGAUGGUGUCUAGAAGGAGAUGGGAUUUUGUUUCACAGGGCAGAUGAAAUCUUUUAAACUGUGUUAUAUUUAAAUAGAUUUGUUUUUUAUUUUAUUUUAAUUUUAUUUAUUGUUAUUCAUUGAUAAAACAAAAUCUGCAGAUCUUGUGUUUAUCUUUCAGCAAAAGACCACCAUGUUAAA